AUUGAACGCUGGCGGCAGGCCUAACACAUGCAAGUCGGGCGAGCCGCGGACGGGUGAGUAAUGUCUGGGGAUCUGCCUGAUGGAGGGGGAUAACUUCUGGAAACGGUAGCUACUACCGCAUACCAUCAGAUGAUCCCAUAUGGGAUUAGCUUGUAGGUGAGGUAACGGCUCACCUAGGCGACGAUCCCUAGCUGGUCUGAGAGGAUGAUCAGCCACACUGGGACUGAGACACGGCCCAGACUCCUACGGGAGGCAGAAGUGGGGAAUAUUGCACAAUGGGCGCAAGCCUGAUGCAGCAAUGCCGCGUGUAUGAAGAAGGCCUUCGGGUUGUAAAGUACUUUCAGUAGGGAGGCGGUACCGAAAGAAGAAGCAACGGCUAACUCCGUGCCAGCCGCCGCGGUAAUUG
rnacentral:rRNA from 1 species